UUGAUAAAGAAGUAGGUUCAUCUGUUUCUUCCUGCUCUUUAAAAUCAAGGAUAUGGGAUAAGUGCUUAGCAGUUAAGUCUUCGUCUUUCUCGAAAGAGGUUUCUCCAAAGCUAUUAUCAAAAGCUGUAUCGUCAUCUUUCUUUUCGUAAGCUAAAUUAUCGAGAUACAAGAAAUCGUGAUCCAAUGCUUCCUCAGCUGAAAUCCUUUUGUUACAGUCAAGUUCAAGACAUUUCUCUAAAAAAUCCAGGCACAAUCGCUCUUCUUGGCUUGGUUUAUGACGAAGCUUUUCUUUGUAUAUACUGGCUGAACCACAACUGGCCCACAAAAUAAGUUUCCUAAAGUUUACUCUUUUUUCUGUAAGCGUGCUUACAUUUGUCUCAAACGUACAACCUGGCAGGUUAGCGAAAAAAAUCAACACAAACACUUCCGUAAGGGACAUUAGAUCGUUCUUACCGUGUAAAGCAGCACAUUGGCGCAUUUCGCUUUUUCCAAAUAUACAUGCUAUCUCCAUGAGUGCAUCCACGUCGUCCUUUGAAUUAAACAUGGGGAAACGUUUAGUAAGGAAAGAUAACAAAAUAACCCCAGCAGACCAAAUAUCAACUUUGGGUGAUUGAGAUGAGCAUUUAAACAAUACUUCAGGUGCUCGAAAUCCUCGAGUUCCGGCUCUAUUGGCCCGUUUGCUUGGUCGAGUAUCGUUUUUUAUGUAUCCAAGAGAUGUUUCCUGCGCAAUCGAAAAAUCAUGUGCUAAUUCGGCCGCAUUUGAAUUAGUGCACCGGCAAGAAUGUGAUUGUUGUCUUCCAUCAUAACGCUCUGCUAAUCCAAAGUCAACUAAGACACCAUGCUUGGUACGAACAUCGAAGAGAAAGUUACUAGGCUUAAUGUCUCUAUGAAUGAUUCCCAAAGUCUGAGUUUGCUGCAUAGCUUGAAAAAGGCAUCGAAAAUAAAUGCUCAUAUCGCGAUAGGAAAAAGUGCUAUAAUAUUGAC